rnacentral:rRNA from 1 species
GCAAGUCGAACGAGUUCUCGUUGAUGAUCGGCGCUUGCACCGAGAUUCAACAUCGUUCGAGUGGCGGACGGGUGAGUAACACGUGGGUAACCUGCCCUUAAGUGGGGGAUAACAUUUGGAAACAGAUGCUAAUACCGCAUAGAUCCAAGAACCGCAUGGUUCUUGGCUGAAAGAUGGCGUAAGCUAUCGCUUUUGGAUGGACCCGCGGCGUAUUAGCUAGUUGGUGAGGUAAUGGCUCACCAAGGCGAUGAUACGUAGCCGAACUGAGAGGUUGAUCGGCCACAUUGGGACUGAGACACGGCCCAAACUCCUACGGGAGGCAGCAGUAGGGAAUCUUCCACAAUGGACGCAAGUCUGAUGGAGCAACGCCGCGUGAGUGAAGAAGGCUUUCGGGUCGUAAAACUCUGUUGUUGGAGAAGAAUGGUCGGCAGAGUAACUGUUGUCGGCGUGACGGUAUCCAACCAGAAAGCCACGGCUAACUACGUGCCAGCAGCCGCGGUAAUACGUAGGUGGCAAGCGUUAUCCGGAUUUAUUGGGCGUAAAGCGAGCGCAGGCGGUUUUUUAAGUCUGAUGUGAAAGCCCUCGGCUUAACCGAGGAAGCGCAUCGGAAACUGGGAAACUUGAGUGCAGAAGAGGACAGUGGAACUCCAUGUGUAGCGGUGAAAUGCGUAGAUAUAUGGAAGAACACCAGUGGCGAAGGCGGCUGUCUGGUCUGUAACUGACGCUGAGGCUCGAAAGCAUGGGUAGCGAACAGGAUUAGAUACCCUGGUAGUCCAUGCCGUAAACGAUGAAUGCUAGGUGUUG